AACCAUCAAAUUUAAUUAUAUUUAUAUAGUAAAAUAAUAAAGUAACUAGAGAUUAGUUUAAGAUUUUUAAUAUAGAAGUAAAAUUCACAUUAAAAUAAUAUACAUAUAAACUUCAUUACUUAUUUAUGAUAUCUUUGAAAGAAACUGGGAUUGGAUACCCCAUUAUUCUUAGACGUAAAUAAUUUUACUAGAGAAGUACGAAUAUUAUUUAAUUUAAAACUCAAAGAGCUUGGCGGUAUUUUAGACUAUUUAGGGGAACCUGCCACGUAAUCGAUAAUCCACGUUAAACCUUACCUUUUCUAGUGUUCAAUUUGUAUACCGUUGUCGCCAGAUAACUUUUAAAAAUAUAUAAGUUAGCUAUAAAAUAAAAUUAAUUUAGAUGUCAAAUCAAGGUGCAAUCUAUGAAAGGGCGUAUGGUGGGUUACAUUAAUAUAUUUAUUAUAUGAAUAGUUAUAUUAAAACUGACUUGAAAGAGGACUUAUAAGUAAAUAUAAUUAUAUUAAAAUAUAUUGAACAAAGCUCUAAAAUGUGC
rnacentral:rRNA from 1 species